CACACAGAUGCAAGGUCUCUUGAUGGCAGAAAACCUUAUAACCAGAGACGGGGUUUCUCCGUGUUAGCCAGGAUGGUCUUGAUCUCCUGACCUCGUGAUCCACCUGCCUCAGCCUCCCAAAGUGCUGGGAUUACAGGCGUGAGCCACCGCGCCUGGCCUAUAAUCAACCUCAGCUGCCAAAUGCUAGACUGAAAGAAGAAUGUAAACAGCUUGAUGGAGGGGAGGAUCCUGGUGCACCUGUGGUUUUGACAGCUUUUGCUGCUGCUUGAGGAGGAAACAGGUUGCCUGUUUGUUCUUCAAGAGCACUUCUGGCAUCCAGGUAUUAUGCAGGCAUGCACUGCCAGCUGUGAAAGAUGCCGCUUCCUUGUCACUUCAGAGAAUGAUGCUUCUACAGAAGAUCCCUCUUGCUAUUUCAUUCAGGGAGCUUGGGAGAGGAAGACAAAAAGAAUCAAAUGCAAA
rnacentral:lncRNA from 1 species